rnacentral:pre_miRNA from 1 species
AAAAAGUGUAAUUUUACGCUGUUUAUAUCUAAUAUUUGAUCGUUCGUCUUUUUUGAAAAUUUCUUAUGGUUAAUACUUUUAUUGUUAUUAGAUGAUAAAACAUGAAUAGUCUAUUUUUUUAAUUUUUUUAUAUAUUUUUUAAAUAAGAUGAACGAUCAAACAUUGGAUAUUUAUAUCUACGGUUGCAAUUAAA